rnacentral:rRNA from 1 species
CUUACGCUAAUACCGCAUACGUCCUAAGGGAGAAAGCGGGGGACCGAAAGGCCUCGCGCGGUUGGACGAACCGAUGUGCGAUUAGCUAGUUGGUAGGGUAAUGGCCUACCAAGGCGACGAUCGCUAGCUGGUCUGAGAGGAUGAUCAGCCACACUGGAACUGAGACACGGUCCAGACUCCUACGGGAGGCAGCAGUGGGGAAUAUUGGACAAUGGGCGCAAGCCUGAUCCAGCAAUGCCGCGUGUGUGAAGAAGGCCUUCGGGUUGUAAAGCACUUUUAUCAGGAGCGAAAUACUAUCGGCUAAUAACCGGUGGGGCUGACGGUACCUGAGGAAUAAGCACCGGCUAACUUCGUGCCAGCAGCCGCGGUAAUACGAAGGGUGCAAGCGUUAAUCGGAAUUACUGGGCGUAAAGCGUGCGUAGGCGGUGACUUAAGUCUGUUGUGAAAUCCCCGGGCUCAACCUGGGAAUGGCAAUGGAUACUGGGUCGCUAGAGUGUGAUAGAGGAUGGUGGAAUUCCCGGUGUAGCGGUGAAAUGCGUAGAGAUCGGGAGGAACAUCAGUGGCGAAGGCGGCCAUCUGGAUCAACACUGACGCUGA